rnacentral:lncRNA from 1 species
CUGACUAAAUAGUAGAAUGGGGCUGAAUAUUGAAAUACUACUUUUUGAUAAAUAUUCCUAAAGUAAUGAACUAGAGCAGUUCUCGCUUGGACACACACUCCAUAAUCUAGUAUAUUAUAAGAGCAUAAACCUGAAGCACGGGGAGGCACUCUACUGCCUCCACACGGCUCUUAAGACAAACUCUGUUAAAAAUAAAAUUGAGAAUGGAAAUGGGGAAUGUGUCAAAGAGACAACAACCCGACCGUAGAAAAAAACAACAGCAGAAGGUCACCAACAGGUCUUCAAUGUAGCGAGAAAUUCCCGCAUCCGGAGGCGUCCUUCAACUGGUCCCUAAACAAAUAUAUACUAGUUCAGUGAUAAUGAACGCCAUACUAAUUUCCAAAUUGUACACAAGAAACUAAAAUUAAAAUAAUACAAGACUAACAAAGGCCAGAGGCUCCUGACUUGGGACAGGCGCAAAAAUGCGGCGGGGUUAAACAAUGUUUGU